rnacentral:rRNA from 1 species
GAUCAUGGCUCAGAUUGAACGCUGGCGGCAGGCCUAACACAUGCAAGUCGAGCGGUAGAGAGAAGCUUGCUUCUCUUGAGAGCGGCGGACGGGUGAGUAAUGCCUAGGAAUCUGCCUAGUGGUGGGGGAUAACGUUCGGAAACGGACGCUAAUACCGCAUACGUCCUACGGGAGAAAGCGGGGGAUCUUCAGACCUCGCGCCAUUAGAUGAGCCUAGGUCGGAUUAGCUAGUUGGUGAGGUAAUGGCUCACCAAGGCGACGAUCCGUAACUGGUCUGAGAGGAUGAUCAGCCACACUGGGACUGAGACACGGCCCAGACUCCUACGGGAGGCAGCAGUGGGGAAUCUUAGACAAUGGGCGCAAGCCUGAUCUAGCCAUGCCGCGUGAGCGAUGAAGGCCUUAGGGUUGUAAAGCUCUUUCAGUGGGGAAGAUAAUGACUGUACCCACAGAAGAAGCCCCGGCUAACUCCGUG